CUAAUGACCCAGCUGCCUACUCGCCAGUAGCUCCCGAGGAUGCAGUGUGUGUGUCCCUGGCCUCUGUCCCCGCAGGUAAGAAUCAGGCAUAUCCACGCCUUCACCCUCCACUCUUCUAUAAUUCCUCCUAAAAGAAGCAGAAAGACAAAAGACUUUACCACCAAGGAGAAGGAACCUGACGAUCUGGAAAUUAAGGAAGGCCAGCGAAACUUUCAGCCGUGAUGGUGAAGCUCCUGGGCGUACCACCUCCAAAAACCUGGAGCCCCAAACCUGGAGCCCCAAACCUGGGUUUGCACCGUUCAUGUUUGAGUCUUAGUGGAACAGAACACAGGCAUUUCUUUGUCCGCCUCAGCCUUUCUUCAAGGCCGUUCUGGCAGCCACCCACAGCCGUUUGGUGGACACAAAGUACUUCCCAGGCUUCCUUCUGUGUUUCUUUUGGUCACUAAGGCUGCUCCUUCUGCAGCCGGGUGGCCAUGACCUCUGCACCAUUCUUCCAACAUGCGGUUGCCACCCACGUAUCAACCUGAUUUCCAACUCCCUUUGUCCACUUUGCCUCCACCCACGCCCCCCUCCCCCAGUCAGAAUGCUCUCUCCAAUGCUGCACAUCCACAUCUUAUGAUUCAAGGUUCAUAGCGAGCUCCAUUUGUGCCAUAAGGUUCUUCUCUCCACUCUGGUUCUCGCUGGUAUUUCUUUUAAUUAUAUUCUUUAGCACUUGUUAUGAUGAUUCAUAUCCUGGAAGCUCGUGUGAAUCACCUGGGGACUAUUUAAAAAAUAGAGACCCUGACCAGACAGACCUAAUCAGAAUCCCUGUGGGUGAGCUAUCGGCAUCUGUGGUUUUAUAAAGAUUCACAGGAGAUUCCAACAUACGGCUGGGGUUGAGAAACACAGAUAAUAUAUAGAUGAUUAAUUUUCAUAUUUUAGCAUCUGCCUUGAGAGUACAUGCAUUGUAAACUAGAGGACAAGUCUUACCUUCCUACUGUACCUAACCCAAUGUUAGCUACAGGGCUCACCCCUUUCAAUAAUUAUUUUGACACAUAUUAAUGCAAAUAAUAAAAUCACCUAAGAGUUC